UGGCUCAGGAUGAACGCUGGCGGCGUGCCUAAUACAUGCAAGUCGAACGCACAGCGAAAGGUGCUUGCACCUUUCAAGUGAGUGGCGAACGGGUGAGUAACACGUGGACAACCUGCCUCAAGGCUGGGGAUAACAUUUGGAAACAGAUGCUAAUACCGAAUAAAACUUAGUGUCGCAUGACAAAAAGUUAAAAGGCGCUUCGGCGUCACCUAGAGAUGGAUCCGCGGUGCAUUAGUUAGUUGGUGGGGUAAAGGCCUACCAAGACAAUGAUGCAUAGCCGAGUUGAGAGACUGAUCGGCCACAUUGGGACUGAGACACGGCCCAAACUCCUACGGGAGGCUGCAGUAGGGAAUCUUCCACAAUGGGCGAAAGCCUGAUGGAGCAACGCCGCGUGUGUGAUGAAGGCUUUCGGGUCGUAAAGCACUGUUGUAUGGGAAGAACAGCUAGAAUAGGAAAUGAUUUUAGUUUGACGGUACCAUACCAGAAAGGGACGGCUAAAUACGUGCCAGCAGCCGCGGUAAUACGUAUGUCCCGAGCGUUAUCCGGAUUUAUUGGGCGUAAAGCGAGCGCAGACGGUUUAUUAAGUCUGAUGUGAAAGCCCGGAGCUCAACUCCGGAAUGGCAUUGGAAACUGGUUAACUUGAGUGCAGUAGAGGUAAGUGGAACUCCAUGUGUAGCGGUGGAAUGCGUAGAUAUAUGGAAGAACACCAGUGGCGAAGGCGGCUUACUGGACUGCAACUGACG
rnacentral:rRNA from 1 species